rnacentral:rRNA from 1 species
AUUGAACGCUGGCGGUAUGCUUAACACAUGCAAGUCGAACGGUAGCAGGCCUUCGGGCGCUGACGAGUGGCGGACGGGUGAGUAACGCGUAGGAAUCUGCCUCAUAGUGGGGGACAACGUGGGGAAACUCACGCUAAUACCGCAUACGCCCUACGGGGGAAAGCGGGGGAUCUUCGGACCUCGCGCUAUGAGAUGAGCCUGCGUUAGAUUAGCUAGUUGGUAGGGUAAAGGCCUACCAAGGCGACGAUCUAUAGCUGGUCUGAGAGGACGAUCAGCCACACUGGGACUGAGACACGGCCCAGACUCCUACGGGAGGCAGCAGUGGGGAAUAUUGGACAAUGGGCGCAAGCCUGAUCCAGCAAUACCGCGUGUGUGAAGAAGGCCCUAGGGUUGUAAAGCACUUUCAAUAGGGAGGAAAACCUGUCGGUCAAUACCCGGCAGCUUGACAUUACCUAUACAAGAAGCACCGGCUAACUCCGUGCCAGCAGCCGCCGUAACAC